rnacentral:rRNA from 1 species
CCAGACUCCUACGGGAGGCAGCAGUGGGGAAUAUUGCACAAUGGGGGAAACCCUGAUGCAGCGACGCCGCGUGAGCGAUGAAGUAUUUCGGUAUGUAAAGCUCUAUCAGCAGGGAAGAAAAUGACGGUACCUGACUAAGAAGCCCCGGCUAACUACGUGCCAGCAGCCGCGGUAAUACGUAGGGGGCAAGCGUUAUCCGGAUUUACUGGGUGUAAAGGGAGCGUAGACGGUCCUGCAAGCCAGAUGUGAAAGGCCGGGGCUCAAACGCGGUAGUGCAUUUGAAACUGGCCGGCUAGAGUGCAGGAGAGGUAAGCGGAAUUCCUAGUGUAGCGGUGAAAUGCGUAGAUAUUAGGAGGAACACCAGUGGCGAAGGCGGCAUACUGGACUGUAACUGACGCUGAGGCACGAAAGCGUGGGGAGCAAACAGGAUUAGAUACCCCAGUAU